rnacentral:rRNA from 1 species
AUUGAACGCUGGCGGCAUGCCUUACACAUGCAAGUCGAACGGCAGCAUGAUCUAGCUUGCUCGAUUGAUGGCGAGUGGCGAACGGGUGAGUAAUACAUCGGAACGUGCCCUGUAGUGGGGGAUAACUAGUCGAAAGAUUAGCUAAUACCGCAUACGACCUGAGGGUGAAAGUGGGGGACCGCAAGGCCUCAUGCUAUAGGAGCGGCCGAUGUCUGAUUAGCUAGUUGGUGAGGUAAAGGCUCACCAAGGCGACGAUCAGUAGCUGGUCUGAGAGGACGAUCAGCCACACUGGGACUGAGACACGGCCCAGACUCCUACGGGAGGCAGCAGUGGGGAAUUUUGGACAAUGGGCGAAAGCCUGGUCCAGCAAUGCCGCGUGUGUGAAGAAGGCCCUCGGGUUGUAAAGCACUUUUGUCCGGAAAGAAAUGGCUCUGGUUAAUACCUGGGGUCGAUGACGGUACCGGAAGAAUAAGGACCGGCUAACUACGUG